GAUGAAGAACGCAGCGAAAUGCGAUAAGUAGUGUGAAUUGCAGAAUUCAGUGAAUCAUCGAAUCUUUGAACGCACAUUGCGCCCGCCAGUAUUCUGGCGGGCAUGCCUGUUCGAGCGUCAUUACAACCCUCAGGCCCCCGGGCCUGGCGUUGGGGAUCGGCGGAGCCCCCCGUGGGCACACGCCGUCCCCCAAAUGCAGUGGCGGUCCCGCCGCAGCUUCCAUCGCGUAGUAGCUAACACCUCGCGACUGGAGAGCGGCGCGGCCACGCCGUAAAACACCCAACUCUUCUGAAGUUGACCUCGAGUCAGGUAGGAAUACCCGCUGAACUUAAGCAUAUCAAUAAGCGGAGGA
rnacentral:misc_RNA from 1 species